GAGUUUGAUCAUGGCUCAGGAUGAACGCUGGCGGCGUGCCUAAUGCAGCAAGUCGAGCGACGCAUGCCCAGUUCGUAAGAACAGGGUAUGACGGAGCGGCGAACGGGUGAGUAACACGUGAGCAACCUGCCCCACAGACCGGGAUAGCCCGGGGAAACCCGGAUUAAUACCGGAUACCUUCCUCCUACCGCAUGAUGGGUGGAAGAAAUGCCUUUGUGCUUUGAGAUGGGGUCGCGGCCUAUCAGGUAGUUGGUGGGGUAACGGCCUACCAAGCCAUCGACGGGUAGCUGGUCUGAGAGGACGAUCAGCCACACUGGAACUGAGACACGGUCCAGACUCCUACGGGAGGCAGCAGCAGGGAAUAUUGCACAAUGGGCGAAAGCCUGAUGCAGCAACGCCACGUGGGGGAUGAAGGCCUUCGGGUUGUAAACCCCUUUCAGGAGGGAAGAAAUUGACGGUACCUCCAAAAGAAGCCCCGGCCAAUUACGUGCCAGCAGCCGCGGUAAUAC
rnacentral:rRNA from 1 species